UUGGAGCAGAGCUGAGAUCAAUUCCUGGAUAUCCUUGUUAACUUUCUGUCUCUUUCUAUUUCUGUGGGAUCAGUGGUGAUAUUCCCUUCAUCAUUUUUAUUAUUUCUACUUGAUUCUUCUCUCUUUUCUUCUUUAUUAGUCUGCCUAGCGUUCUAUUUUAUUAAAAUUUUCAAAAUACCUUCUUUUGGAUUCAUUGAUUUUUAA
rnacentral:lncRNA from 10 species